rnacentral:rRNA from 1 species
UACGGGGGGGGCAAGCGUUGUCCGGAAUUAUUGGGCGUAAAGAGCUCGUAGGCGGUCUGUUGCGUCUGCUGUGAAAGCCCGGGGCUCAACCCCGGGAGGCGGGUGGAUACUGCUGAGCUUGAGUCCGGAAGAGGCGAGUGGAAUUCCCGGUGUAGCGGUGAAAUGCGCAGAUAUCGGGAGGAACACCAAUGGCGAAGGCAGCUCGCUGGGACGUGACUGACGCUGAGACGCGAAAGCUAGGGAGCAAACGGGG